rnacentral:rRNA from 1 species
AGCGAACGCUGGCGGCAGGCCUAACACAUGCAAGUCGAACGGAUCCUUCGGGAUUAGUGGCGGACGGGUGAGUAACACGUGGGAACGUGCCCUUUGGUUCGGAACAACUCAGGGAAACUUGAGCUAAUACCGGAUGUGCCCUUCGGGGGAAAGAUUUAUCGCCAUUGGAGCGGCCCGCGUCUGAUUAGCUAGUUGGUGAGGUAAAGGCUCACCAAGGCGACGAUCAGUAGCUGGUCUGAGAGGAUGAUCAGCCACAUUGGGACUGAGACACGGCCCAAACUCCUACGGGAGGCAGCAGUGGGGAAUCUUGCGCAAUGGGCGAAAGCCUGACGCAGCCAUGCCGCGUGAAUGAUGAAGGUCUUAGGAUUGUAAAAUUCUUUCACCGGGGACGAUAAUGACGGUACCCGGAGAAGAAGCCCCGGCUAACUUCGUGCCAGCAGCCGCCGCAG